UACGAGGGGGGCAAGCGUUGUUCGGAAUUAUUGGGCGUAAAGGGUGCGUAGGCGGUCUGAUAAGUCAUCUGUGAAAUCUAUGGGCUCAACCCAUAGUCUGCAGGCGAAACUGUCGGGCUUGAGUAUGGGAGAGGUGAGUGGAAUUUCCGGUGUAGCGGUGAAAAUGCGUAGAUAUUCGCAAGAACACCAGUGGCGAAGGCGGCUCACUGGCCCGGUACUGACGCU
rnacentral:rRNA from 1 species